AGAAGCAGAGCAACGGCGAGAUCCACGAGCUUGACGACAACGGCAAGCUGGAGUCUCCUCCCGACGAGCUCGACAAGGAAUACGACGACGGCGAUGUCCCGGAGCAGCACGGCCGACCUGGACGAGGAGGAGGGUAGCAACCAGACGAGGGGCAUGCCUGGGCCGCCGGGCUAUCUUACGGCUGCAGGAGGCCUCUGACGGCAGGGUCGCGACAGCUGGACCUCGGCGCCCUCCUGCCUGGCCAAGCCCCAGUAGCAAAACCAAAGAUGCUGUCCAACCAAGUUUGUGUUUCCACAUUGCUUCUUAUGGCAUUGAAAGCUUCUUCAAAGGCUUCCUCUUCCUCAUACUUGUACAUGCAAGCACUGAAAUCAGCAAGUACAUUUGGUCCUUCCUCGUCUUUUUUCUUAUGAGGUUGCUUUUUGUUAUGCACUGAUAGGAACGUGUUGAACAACCAUUUGAAUGAUUCAAAUGUCUCAUCAUAUAAAAGUGCAGCACCAAAAAUGACCAUUUCUCUAAAAUGGUUGAAGCCAACAAACACACCGAAGGGUCUGUACUCUUUGUUUGUCCCAAAUGUUGUAUCGAAGGUACAAUUCCUGAAUCAUCUGCUGUUUCAAUUUCAAGUGCUUGCAAGGCCGAAAUUUUCCUCUGUGAUGGCAUCAAGUGGCUUGUCCCAGGAGAAGGACAACAAAAGAGAGAUCGUCUGCAUUAAUCUCCUGUCAUGUUUUGGAAAUCCCAGAAGGAAGACAAAAGGGAGAUAAUCUUCAUCGCCUACAGAUCAGCUUGCCUUGGUUUCACUCUGAACAUGGGGGAUGAUCAGAAGAGAGAUAAGGCAAAAGGGAGUUGAUCUCGCCACCUACAGACCACAGAUGAACGUACCUCCGCCAUGUUCUUUUACAAGGACGAGCAAGAGGAACGGGGAAGAUGAGCAGGACGAAGGCAAAUAGAUCGUAGAGGAGCCGAACCCAUCGAUCGCUGUUUGUCGCCAACGCGAUUAUUAGGGUGGUGUUUUGUUUGGCGCCAAUGUGAGUCUUCGUGGUUCUGUUUGGCGCCAAUGUGAGUCUUCGUGGUUCUGUUUGGCGCCAAUCUUGCAACCGUACAAGAUUUUCUACCACAUAAUUAGGUGUUUGUUUCCAUCUAUUAAUAGAAUCGGGUGGGGGUAAUGAGAGCCGUGAGAUUUAAAUGAAUGGUUGAUCUGGGUUGGUACAGUACCCGUGCAGUAAUAACGUGACUGCAGAUGAGCCGAACCCCGAGAUUGCGGCUAGAUGACAUCGGCUGCAUGUGGCAAGACAUGCAUAAAUACUAAUUGGUAUAAACUACGAGAUGAAGAACCUAGAAAGUCAGAUUAGAAGUAAGUUAGAUGUUAUUUUGAUUAUUUUAUUUUGAGGAAUCGUACAAUCAGAUUGUAGUUUUGAUUUUCCUGGGUUGGACACGUUGGGCCUCUUAAUUUAUGAAUAACUUUUUGUUGACAAAUUUUGUGUGUGCAAAGAAAGCACAUGGGCAGCGGAUCAGUGUACCCAAUAAUGAGUAAUCUAUCACAUCAUGCUUCCGAUAUAUACUUUGUAGUACUACUAUUUUAUGGGUGUCCUACAUAAAAGGACAUGUAAGAGACAACAUUACAAACAUUAUUAUUUUUUCAUUAUAUUGGAAAACAAAGGAUAUCCAUGUGAUCAAA